rnacentral:lncRNA from 1 species
UGAAUAAUCACCUGCUUCCAGUAAUAACAGGUUAAGUCUUCAGACCACAUCUUCCAUGGAGGACAACUAGAAAUAUUGGAAAAAAUUCUCCUUAAGACCAUUGUAAAGCCAAAAAAUAAUGAAGAAUUACCAGGCCAAGAUCCAGGGGAUGGCAAGUUCUUGGAACAGCAAGAAAGCCCUGUAAGCUCAUUUUACACUGAGAACAUUUGCCCAUUCAGAAGAAAUAAAGCUGAAGAAAAUAGCUUGUGUUUGACACCUCUGGGAACAAGCAAGUGGAAACUCAAGACCACCUUAAGGAGGGCAGCUUGAUAAACACGACUUUACUUGCAUGUGCCUGCAGGAUUGACAACAGAUUAGAGGCAGCUGAAGAGAGAAUAAAUGAGAAAUAAAUGACAAGAAAUUAUCUAGAAUGCAUCAAGAGACAAAAAGAAAAUAUGGAAGAAUGUUAAAGGCUAGAUAGCAUGCACAGAAAAGUCUAACAACAGUUUUCUUAGAGUGUGGAGGAGGAAGAAAGAAGAGGGCAGGAGCAAUAUUUGAAAAGCUAAUGGUUUUCACAGUGAGCUUUUCUG